AUACGGAGGAUGCGAGCGUUAUCCGGAUUCAUUGGGUUUAAAGGGUGCGCAGGCGGACGAUUAAGUCAGCGGUGAAAAGUAUGCGCUCAACGCAUAUCGUGCCGUUGAAACUGGUUGACUAGGAUACGUAUGCUGUGGGAGGAAUGUGUAGUGUAGCGGUGAAAUGCAUAGAUAUUACACAGAACACCGAUUGCGAAGGCAUCUCACAAAUACGUCAUUGACGCUGAGGCACGAAAGUGCGAGGAUCAAACAGGAUUAGAUACCCUGGUAGUCCGCACAGUAAACGAUGAUAACUCGAUUUUGGCCUGCAAAGGUCAGUGGCCAAGCGAAAGCGAUAAGUUAUCCACCUGGGGAGUACGACCGCAAGGUUGAAACUCAAAGGAAUUGACGGGG
rnacentral:rRNA from 1 species